CCUACGGGUGGCAGCAGUGGGGAAUAUUGCGCAAUGGGCGAAAGCCUGACGCAGCGACGCCGCGUGAGGGAUGAAGGUCUUCGGAUCGUCAACCUCUGUCAGCAGGGAAGAACGGUCACUGUGCUAAUCAGCAGUGAAUUGACGGUACCUGCAAAGGAAGCACCGGCUAACUCCGUGCCAGCAGCCGCGGUAAGACGGAGGGUGCGAGCGUUAAUCGGAAUUUCUGGGCGUAAAGCGCUCGUAGGCGGUAUGUCAAGUCAAGGGUGAAAUCCCCGCGCUCAACGUGGGAACUGCCUUUGAAACUGGCAAACGUGAGUGUGUGAGAGGAUAGGGGAAUUCCAGGUGUAGGAGUGAAAUCCGUAGAUAUCUGGAGGAACAUCAGUGGCGAAGGCGACUAUCUGGCACAUAACUGACGCUGAGGAGCGAAAGCGUGGGUAGCAAACAGGAUUAGAUACCCUUGUAGUC
rnacentral:rRNA from 1 species